rnacentral:rRNA from 1 species
UACGUAGGGGGCUAGCGUUGUCCGGAAUCAUUGGGCGUAAAGCGCGUGUAGGCGGCCCGGUAAGUCCGCUGUGAAAGUCCAGGGCUCAACCCUGGGAUGCCGGUGGAUACUGUCGGGCUCGAGUCCGGAAGAGGCGAGUGGAAUUCCUGGUGUAGCGGUGAAAUGCGCAGAUAUCAGGAGGAACACCAAUGGCGAAGGCAGCUCGCUGGGACGUGACUGACGCUGAGGAGCGAAAGUGUGGGGAGCGAACAGG